ACCCACUCACUGUCAGGUUCUCAAAUUUGCGGAACAAAUUCUUGAAUUUCCCGGGCAGCUUCUGCAGAGAGUUUGAAGGAAGGAGAAGGAAUGUCAGAUUGGAGCUCCUUGCGUUUCAGGGGACCUCUGGCUAAUCCCCAGGUGUCAGAGGGGGAAAGGGCCCGGCUAUCUUGCAAGGGGCUGGCAAGCUGGUCUGGUGGGUAGGGAAAUAGAAUCAGCUCUUGGUGAGGUCUGGGGAGCUUGAAGCAGCCCGGAGGAAUGAAUUAUUCUGGGGAAUUCGAGCCUCUGCGUUGGCAUUGCCACGCACAAGGGGCCUCACUGAGCGCUGGCUGGAAUCCAGCAUCCAAGUCUGCGACCUGGCCUGGGCUGCCUGCCCCCCUCUCCGGCGGGGAUUCCGGCUUUUUACUAAUUUGCGCAAGGACAGGGCGCAUUAACCUAGCGGCGUGCCCCGGGCCUGGAUCUGCCAGAAGAGGGCGCCUCCUUCCGCCUGGCACAAAGGCUCCCUAAGGGCCAGCCGCACCGCGGGAGGCAGCACCGGGGUGAGCCCGGCAGGCCAAGAUCCCCGAGCCGGGCCAGCCCAGGCGGGAGGAGAGGAGAGGGCAGCCAUGCAUCACCUCCCAGAUUGGAGACAUAAGGCUUAGAGGGUCUGGGGGUGAAUUGCCCGAGGGCACCCCGCCAGCCACCUUCUAAUGCAAAGUUCAGCUGCACACAUGGCCCGCCUCCAGGACCCCACGUUGGCACAUUUCUCCCUCCAGGCCCCCAGCCCAGCACCACCUUCAGUCCCCACCUCGUGCACACAUCGAAACAGCUCCCAGUGGAAGGCAGUAAGGUGGUUGGCGACGUCCUCAGGCUCCACUCGGUGGAUCUCUGUGUCUCCAGGGGAGACCUGGAUCUCCUCGGGGAGGGGCAUCUGGUGACAGGCAGGGGCUGGACUCCACUCUGGGCUUGUGAGUUUCUGCCCCAUAGUCCCUCUGGGCCCUCACUCCCAGCCAACGCCCUUGUGACGGAGUUCUUACCAGCGCCUCAUAGCUGUCGCGGGUGCAGGCAAACAGGUGACUGUUGAUGCCCAGCGUGGUGAAGACACAGUCUUCAGUCGGCUGGAGAAGGACCUUCUCUGCAGGAGAACGAGCUGUUCUGCCUCAGCCCUGGCUAUCUGCACCCUCACACACCCCAGCCACUGUCGCCAUCCCAUCUAGAAACUCCUAACCCUGCAUGGACACAUUCUAGACGAAUGGGACUGCUGUUAUCACCAGUUUGUGCCACAUUCAUCUGAAAUUUUCAAAUAAUGAUUUCCUCAGCAUUCA